GAUGAACGCUGGCGGCGUGCCUAAUACAUGCAAGUCGAGCGAACAGACGAGGAGCUUGCUCCUCUGACGUUAGCGGCGGACGGGUGAGUAACACGUGGAUAACCUACCUAUAAGACUGGGAUAACUUCGGGAAACCGGAGCUAAUACCGGAUAAUAUAUUGAACCGCAUGGUUCAAUAGUGAAAGACGGUUUUGCUGUCACUUAUAGAUGGAUCCACGCCGCAUUAGCUAGUUGGUAAGGUAACGGCUUACCAAGGCAACGAUGCGUAGCCGACCUGAGAGGGUGAUCGGCCACACUGGAACUGAGACACGGUCCAGACUCCUACGGGAGGCAGCAGUAGGGAAUCUUCCGCAAAGGGCGAAAGCCUGACGGAGCAACGCCGCGUGAGUGAUGAAGGUCUUCGGAUCGUAAAACUCUGUUAUUAGGGAAGAACAAAUGUGUAAGUAACUAUGCACGUCUUGACGGUACCUAAUCAGAAAGCCACGGCUAACUACGUG
rnacentral:rRNA from 1 species